GCCAGCGUAGCUUACAUUAAAGUAUAACACUGAAGCUGUUAAGAUGGGCCCUAAUAAGGCCCCGCAAGCA